UACGAAGGGGGCUAGCGUUGUUCGGAAUUACUGGGCGUAAAGCGCACGUAGGCGGCUCUGUAAGUUGGGGGUGAAAUCCCGAGGCUCAACCUCGGAAUUGCCUUCAAGACUGCAGGGCUUGAGUUCGGGAGAGGUGAGUGGAAUUCCCAGCGGAGAGGUGAAAUUCGUAGAGAUUGGGAAGAACACCAGUGGCGAAGGCGGCUAACUGGCCCGUAACUUACGCUGAGGUGCGAAAGCGUGGGGAGCAUACAGG
rnacentral:rRNA from 1 species